GUCAGUAUGGUAUAGUGGUUUGAGUUUUGGACUACAACUCUGGAGACCUGGGUUCGACUCCCUGCUUGGUCA